AUGAGUGCCCCCACUCAGCUCCUGGGGUUGCUGCUGAUCUGGCUUACAGGUGCCAGAUGUGACAUCCAGAUUACCCAGUCUCCAACCUCUCUGUCUGCAUCUCUGGGAGACAGUGUCACCAUCACCUGCCUGGCAAGUCAGGAUAUUGGCUGGGGUUUAGCAUGGUAUCAGCAGAAACCAAAGAAACCUCCUACGCUACUGAUCUAUGCUGGAGAUAGUUUGGCAAGUGGUGUCCCAUCGAGGUUCAGUGGCAGUAGAUCUGGCACACAGUUUUCUCUCAAGAUCAGCAGCCUGCAGCCUGACGAUAUGGCAACUUAUUACUGUCUAAAAUAUGGUAGUACCCCUCCCACAGUGAUUCAAGCCAUAACAUAA